AACUGUCUCUGACAUAACCUCGCCGACCUUGCAAACUCUCCUCUUUUUCCCCUACAGAUGUGGGUUACUACUGUCCGUUCUGUCGCUCUACCGUGACAGCUUCCCCAGGCUUUUGUUGUGUGUGCGGCAAAAACAUUAAAUUUCUAAAAGAUGUGGCAAACAACCCACCAGAGGAGAUGCCCACCACCAGUGCACAUCCUAAUGCACAGCCAAGCACUUGUGCAGCAAGGUCUGGUGGAGUCCUUUCUUAAAUUUAGGGAAAUAAAAGAAAGGGAGAGAAAGACAUUCUUUUCAAAGACACGUCUUAAGUCUAAGAAGGAACAGAAAACAGUGAAGAUGGAAAUACUUCCGAAUCAGAUCCUCUUCUGUGGGGCUGUGCGAUGCUGACCCUGACAAACAAAGGGAGAAAAAGAUAAAGA